GCAGCCGUGAAUUUUGUUUCAUAAUAUUACAAUUGAAAAUAGUGUUACUCAUUCAGUAUGCUGUUUUACUAUAGUAGAAAGCAUAGAAAGACAGGCGAAAAAUACCUAAGGGUUAUUCAAACUCAGAAGUCGAAACAAACCGUCAACGCCAUGACUGAAAAAGAAAAAAAAGGCCAUAAAGACCAAAAGACCAACAGACAAACAAUUGUACACAAAACACAACAUAUAAACUAAAGGCUGAGCAACACGAACC
rnacentral:lncRNA from 1 species